AUAAGAAAGAAUCUCACAAAAAAAUGCUAAAAUAUUGGGAUAUGAUGCACCGGUGGAAUUUAAUGCAUAUACCCAAAACAAAUUCACUAUCCCCUCAAUUUUUUUAGAAAAAAAGAAAGGGAAAGCCGGAAAGAGUUGAGGCGGUGAAUUUUGACGAUUCGACGCAUAUUUUCGAUGAUUGCGAUACUGUUUUCGAACUACCGACGAUGGCAUGAACCAAGUUUGGUUGGACGGGUAAUUUCAUUGUAUUUCAUAGGAUUUCUUGUUUUUCGUUCUUCAAUAGGCUUCCAAGGUUUCUGCAUUUUUUGGGGGUGUGAACGAAGACUGGAUUUAAAAGGAAUUGGUGUGUGUACUAUUUUUUGGUGGUCUCUAAUUGUCGGAUUCAAAUCGAAAAAUAGCUUAAAACUUGGGAUACGAAUCAGCAGUGCAAUUUGAUGCAUCUACCUAAAUCAAGUUAAGCCCUAGGAAUCGAUUCACCCUCUCUUUACAAUUUUGAAGGAAAAAGAAAGGGAGGCGACGAAAUAGUUGAAGCGGCGAAAACUUAAAUCCGAUACUAUUUUCGGGCAUAUCAACCCCCGGCGAUGGCACGAACUAAGGCUAGUCGGACCGGGUGUUGUGGUUGAUAGAUCUGUGAUUGCUGGUGGGGGAGCACGUACGGUCAAGUGCAAAGAUUGUGUGCGCCACUGGUGAAUAUGAAGCUGAAUAUUUGCAGAAUUGUCCUCGUGUGAGGACCAACAUUUCAAUGCGUGGGGAAAGAAAAUGUGGUUUAGUGAUGGGUUUGGCAUAGACAUUACACGUAAUAAAAUUUUGGAUUUUAGUUUAUUGUGUGAAUGAAUAAAUUUCAUGGU